UUUCAGUGUCUCAUCGUUCCAUGGUACCUGGUGAGUGAGCUAAAGGAAAUCCUCAUCAUAGAAUUCAAUUGGGCAGCCAUCUUGCAUUAUGGAGAGAAUCAGCGAGGCUGGAUCAAAGGAAAUGGAGCUCACAUCAGCUCACAUAUCACAACAACCAGAGUGGAUGAGGAAUGAAACAGUCCAAACAGGAGCUGAAGUGACAAUAAUGGAGGAGACAAGAAUCAGGAACACAGAUGAAAGGUUUACAAGAAGACGAUACAGUUAAGUCAAUGCAGGUCGCGGUGGAGAUGAGGAACAUCUGAUUCAUAUUAGGAGGUGGAGAUAUAGGUUCC